rnacentral:rRNA from 1 species
CACGUAGGGGGCAAGCGUUGUCCGGAUUUAUUGGGCGUAAAGAGCUCGUAGGCGGUUCGGUAAGUCGGGUGUGAAACCUCCAGGCUCAACCUGGAGACGCCACCCGAUACUGCUGUGACUCGAGUCCGGUAGGGGAGCGUGGAAUUCCUGGUGUAGCGGUGAAAUGCGCAGAUAUCAGGAGGAACACCGGUGGCGAAGGCGGUUCUCUGGGCCUUACCUGACGCUGAGGAGCGAAAGCGUGGGGAGCGAUCCGG